AUUGAACGCUGGCGGAAUGCUUUACACAUGCAAGUCGAACGGCAGCACGGACUUCGGUCUGGUGGCGAGUGGCGAACGGGUGAGUAAUGUAUCGGAACGUGCCCAGUCGUGGGGGAUAACGUAGUGAAAAUUACGCUAAUACCGCAUACGAUCUAUGGAUGAAAGCGGGGGAUCGCAAGACCUCGCGCGAUUGGAGCGGCCGAUAUCAGAUUAGGUAGUUGGUGGGGUAAAGGCCCACCAAGCCAACGAUCUGUAGCUGGUCUGAGAGGACGACCAGCCACACUGGAACUGAGACACGGUCCAGACUCCUACGGGAGGCAGCAGUGGGGAAGUUUGGACAAUGGGCGAAAGCCUGAUCCAGCCAUUCCGCGUGCAGGAUGAGGGCCCUCGGGUUGUAAACUGCUUUUGUACAGAACGAAAAGGUUUCUACUAAUACUAGGAGCUCAUGACGGUACCGUAAGAACAAGCACCGGCUAACUACGUGCCAGCCGCCGCCGUAA
rnacentral:rRNA from 1 species